CCUACGGGGGGCAGCAGUGGGGAAUAUUGGACAAUGGGGGCAACCCUGAUCCAGCCAUGCCGCGUGUGUGAAGAAGGCCCUCGGGUUGUAAAGCACUUUCAGUGAGGAAGAACGCCUGGUGGUUAAUACCCAUCAGGAAAGACAUCACUCACAGAAGAAGCACCGGCUAACUCCGUGCCAGCAGCCGCGGUAAUACGGAGGGUGCGAGCGUUAAUCGGAAUUACUGGGCGUAAAGCGCGCGUAGGUGGCUUGAUAAGCCGGUUGUGAAAGCCCCGGGCUCAACCUGGGAACGGCAUCCGGAACUGUCAAGCUAGAGUGCAGGAGAGGAAGGUAGAAUUCCCAGUGUAGCGGUGAAAUGCGUAGAGAUCGGGAGGAAUACCAGUGGCGAAGGCGGCCUUCUGGACUGAAACUGACACUGAGGUGCGAAAGCGUGGGUAGCAAACAGGAUUAGAUACCCUGGUAGUC
rnacentral:rRNA from 1 species